rnacentral:rRNA from 1 species
CAGCCGCCACGGUAAUACGUAGGGUGCAAGCGUUAAUCGGAAUUACUGGGCGUAAAGCGUGCGCAGGCGGUUAUAUAAGACAGAUGUGAAAUCCCCGGGAUCAACCUGGGAACUGCAUUUGUGACUGUAUAGCUAGAGUACGGCAGAGGGGGAUGGAAUUCCGCGUGUAGCAGUGAAAUGCGUAGAUAUGCGGAGGAACACCGAUGGCGAAGGCAAUCCCCUGGGCCUGUACUGACGCUCAUGCACGAAAGCGUGGGGAGCAAACAGGAUUAGAGACCCGUGUAGUCCCUGUCUCUUAUAC